AGCAGCCGCGGUAAUUCCAGCUCCAAUAGCGUAUAUUAAAGUUGUUGCAGUUAAAAGCUGUAGUUGAAUUUCGGGUCGUGGAAGGGUUUGGUCAAAAGCCUUACUCUUCUGUUGCUCUACUGUCUGGCGUAAGUCAGACCUUUUACUGUGAAGAAAUUAGAGUGUUUAAAAGCAGGCUAUGCUUGAAUACAUUAGCAUGGAAUAAUAAAAUAGGGACUCGAGUUCUAUUUUGUUG
rnacentral:rRNA from 1 species